rnacentral:rRNA from 1 species
ACGGGUGAGUAACGCGUGGGUAAUCUACCCCGGUCUGGGGGAUAACGCACCGAAAGGUGCGCUAAUACCGCAUGACCCGGCGGGUUUUCGGACCUGUCGGAAAAGGUGGCCUCUUCAUGAAAGCUACCGAACCGGGAUGAGCCCGCGUCCUAUUAGCUUGUUGGUGGGGUAAAGGCCUACCAAGGCGACGAUGGGUAGCUGGUCUGAGAGGACGGCCAGCCACACUGGAACUGGUACACGGUCCAGACUCCUACGGGAGGCAGCAGUGAGGAAUAUUGCGCAAUGGGGGAAACCCUGACGCAGCGAUGCCGCGUGGGUGAAGAAGGCCUUCGGGUCGUAAAGCCCUGUCAAACGGGAAGAACAGUUUGGAGACGAAUAAUCUUCAGGCCUGACGGUACCGUUGAAGGAAGCACCGGCUAACUCCGUGCCAGCAGCCGCGGUAAGACGGAGGGUGCGAGCGUUAUUCGGAUUUAUUGGGCGUAAAGAGUGUGUAGGCGGUCGGUCAAGUCCGAUGUGAAAGCCCGGGGCUUAACCUCGGAAGUGCGUUGGAAACUGGUCGACUUGAGUUCGGGAGAGGAAAGCGG